UAGGGAAUCUUCCGCAAUGGACGCAAGUCUGACGGAGCAACGCCGCGUGAGUGAAGGAGGUUUUCGGAUCGUAAAACUCUGUUGUAAGAGAAGAACAAAUUGUAGAGUAACUGCUACAGUCUUGACGGUAUCUUACCAGAAAGCCACGGCUAACUACGUGCCAGCAGCCGCGGUAAUACGUAGGUGGCAAGCGUUGUCCGGAUUUAUUGGGCGUAAAGGGGGCGCAGGCUGCUUCUUAAGUCUGAUGUGAAAGCCCACGGCUUAACCGUGGAAGUGCAUUGGAAACUGGGAAGCUUGAGUACAGAAGAGGAAAGUGGAACUCCAUGUGUAGCGGUGGAAUGCGUAGAUAUAUGGAAGAACACCAGUGGCGAAAGCGACUUUCUGGUCUGUCACUGACGCUGAGGCCCGAAAGCGUGGGUAGCAAACAGG
rnacentral:rRNA from 1 species